CAAAAUAACUAUUUUGCCUUCCUCUAUGGAACCUUUCAAUCUCUCUCUGUGUGAUGAUGAUGAAGGCCGAAUCAAUUGCUAGGCUUACCAAGGAUCAUUUCAUCUCUUCUCUUCAGUUGUGUAUCUGAAAUCAAAGGUAUCUAUCGUAGUCUCAUGCUUCUCUUCUCUUCUUGGUUGUGUAUCUGAAAUCCCUAAUUCAUUCUCACUCCCAGCCCAGUCCUGCCCUAGUCACUUUCACUUCUCUCUCUCUUUUAGCAGCCGCAACACCAUGUGCAGUACCCCAUACGACGACGUGGUGGCGCCGCCCUGUUUCAAUCACAACAAUGGCGUCUUUCACCCCUGACAUCCUCUCCAAACUUCUCCAAAAUCUCAGCAACACUGUCGCCAGAGGGUAUUGAGAAGAAAGUAGCUGUGAAAGGAGAGAUUGAGGGUUCAAAGAGUCUUCGAUCUUUGGAGCCAUUGAUUAGCCCCCAAUCACAUUGUGGGUCAAAUACAAAACCUGAUUUGGCGAUUUUUGAGAAGGUCUCUAUUAAAAAAAGAAGAUUUUAUGGAUGGGUUUGAUGAGUUUAAGAUCGUAGAGAGAUGGGUUAGAGAGAGAACGUUCUUUUUCAUUGCAGAAGUAGCAAUCUUCGAGAGUCACAACAACAAUGGCCACAAUGGCUGCUCUUUAGAGCUCCUUCACUUCUUUUUCUCUCUCCUCAAAUUCCUUCUUAGGCCAACGCAUCUUGUCCCCCUCUCUGGAGUGGGCAUACUUUCUUAACAAAAGGUCUAAAGUGAAUAUUUCAUACAGUGUCAAAUCCCCGAAUUCUGCCCCUUUGUCCCUUGUAAUAGCGCAAGGUAGAGAAAGCCUUGUUGAGUGGAUAGAGGACCCAUCGUAUCCUAAUACAACUUUGUCUUGGAACAUUAUUCAUGGUAAUAAGGGGGGUAACGUUAUUGUUAUAUAUUGUAUGAUUAAAAAAAAUUGUGGUGGAUUAGGUUAUUAAUCUUUAUGUCUUUUCCUAGACAGGAAAUGGUACCAUCCAACAGGAAAUUUUGUGGUCUAAAUUGUAUUAUAUUGCUGUGGGAAAUUUGAACUCUGAGGAGGUGGAGGUAAUUGUGGAAGUAUUUAAAGUCCUCUGUGUUUAGUAGGGAAAAAUAAAUAAAUAAAUAAAUAAAUAAAUAAAUAAAUAAAUAAAUAAGUGAUUUUCUAAGCUUGUGCAAUUGUUUCAAAUGAUACCAGAAUUAUGGAGUCCUCAGGAUGGAUGCUUGUAGUAGUUGUUGCUCAAAAUUCAGCUGGACAGUAUCUUCCUAGAAUUGAUUGAGAUUACAUCGAAUGAAUUUCCUAUUUGUAGUCCACAAUCUAUGCACCUUUAGAAUUAAGAUGGCCAUUGAGAAUUUUAUUCUCUAUGGUCUUUAGUGCUUCUAAUAGAAUCCUUUGUGUCAGAAUAGGUGAAACAUCGGUAAGAAUCCUUUUCAUUUGCAAAACCUUGAUUGCUUUCAUUCGUCUCCAAGGAUUUGGUUACAUAAAUCAUCUAUCUUCUCUAUUUGGUUUUGAGCUUUCAAAAAUAGUUUUUGAGUUUAUUUAUUUAUUUAUUUUAUAGUUAUUUUAUUUAAUAUUUUCAUAAAAUAUCUUACAUUUUAGAUGAUUUAUAACUGCAAGAAACAGUAGUAUUACGAGCUUUUGUGCAAGAGAAUUAUUAAAAAUGCAGUCAAAUUAUUAUCAAUGGGGGAAAUAAUAUAGGUAGUAUAAACAUGCUGGUGUCUUCUCUUUGACUUAUUUUUCUUAAUUCUGCAUUGACUAGGUUCAACUGAACUUCACAAUAAAGGGUUUUCUGUAUAAUCUAACCCAGGCAUGUUACAAGUGCUCUUUGAGUCAUCAUCUAUGUAGUUUGAAGCUUUUUCUUCUAAGGGCAAAUGCUGUUAUGUUAACUUCUCUGGCCACAGAAUAGGUAAAGAAUGUCGUGAUGUCAAUUUGUUUUUUUAACUUAACAAUUUGUUUUUUAAAGAGAUGCCCUUGAAAUUUGUUUGUAUAUGCAUUUUCUACUAUAUUUAUCAGCGAGGUUAGAAUUUCAAGAUGCCUUAAUUGUGAAUUAUAUUAGCAUUUGCACUGUUUUACCAAAAUGUGUUUGGAGACAAUGUAUAAAAUAAGUUAUUAACUGGAAGAAUCUAUGAUAAUCAUUACUAAUGAUUUUGUUUGCCUUAGUCACUGUUGGGGCAUGAAUCGACGUCUAGAGUCCAUUUUAGUUCUUCUCUGUAUUCUCUUACUCAGAAAAAAAAAAUAAUCUUCUCUAUAUUUAGCCAUAUGUCUCAAAGAGUUAAAGACCAAUUGUAAAUAGUAUAAAUGGAUUAGUUGCAGAUUUGAUUCAUGGAGAUUUCGAUUUUUCAUUUAUGAAUUUAAACUCGUCGUGCUUCUCUUAGGGUGUAUCAUAUAAAGAAUGGUUUGGAAUCCUUACAGCUUCAUCCUUGGUUGCUCAUUUCUUACUUUCAUUUUAAUUACUAGAUUCUUGGUAAGUAACAACCAUAAUUGGCAAUUUCAUUUUUGUUGUUUUCUUUUUUAUUUAUUCAUUUAUUUUUUUACAUAAAAAUAAAAACAACCAAGAUCAAACAUAGGUGGUGGUCUAUACAAUUUCUUUGUCUGCCACAAUUCUAGUGUAUACUUACUUUGUGAUUCUGUGAUUUGGGUAAAAGGUAAAGAGAAAACAAGAAAAUAUCCAUUUUAUUGAUUUUCUAAAUGAAUCAACGUUAUACAGAGAAGAUAGUAUAUAUACAAGAGUGAUCUACUUUACCUAACCAUAACUGUACCUAACCAUAACUGUCUAACUAAACUAUAGUUAAACUCUAACAAACUAACUACCUAGCCUUGAUAAUGCACAUGUGACUAUUGGAGCUAUUGCUCUAAAGCUGCUGAGUUGUUGUGACUGCUGCUCUGCUUUGGAGCUGCUGGAGCUGUUGUGAUUGCUGCUAUGCUGGAGCUGUUGUGCUGUGGCUGUGGUUGUGGCUGUGCUACUAUGGAGCUGCUGGAGCUCCAGCUGCUACUCUGCUGGAGCUGCUGUGCUGUGGCUAUGGCUGUGCAGUGGAUGAGCUGCUCUCUUCAUCAAAAGGGACAAGAAACUCUUUUGGUUGCCGGUCAUUGCACCAUUGAUGCCUAUGAUUUUGUCUAUUAUUAUCGUUUUCCUGACAAGAGCUGAUAAAUAUGGAGUUAAAAUAGUGAAACACAUCAAAGGAGGGCUGAAUCCAAUCUUAAUUCAUCAGUUACAAUUCAACAACCCACAUGCCUCAGAAGUGGCUAAAAUUGGACUGAUUGUUGCAGUUGUCGCUCUCACGGAAGCCAUUGUGGUUGGUCGAUCUUUUGCAUCCAUAAAAGGUUACCAUCUUGAUGGAAACAAGGAAAUGUUGGCCAUGGGCUUCAUGAACAUUGUAGGAUCUUUAACUUCAUGCUAUGUUGCCACUGAUAUGUUCUUGAUUUGCUCAUGGUUGAUGAGGAUGUGCCCUAUCUACUUCCCAUUUUUUAGGGAGAUUUAUUCUUGUAACCUUCUUUUAAUGGAUGAGAAAGUCGGACUAGAACUUGUGGUCGCGGCUUUAUCACACUGGACGAACUCAUGGUGUUUCCAAAACCUAGAUGAGGCUAGGGAGGAGAUCGUAGUAAAAGACUUGACCGAGAUCAGAACAACGACCAAGGUGGAGUUUUGGACAUAGAAGAUGUAGCUAGGGCUCCUGUUGAUUUCUUUAACAAGGUUUCGCUGAGCUCCCUCAUUCCUCAUGCUCCAAUAUCUUCUAUAACCAUCAUCAACAAAGAUGAUAGGAAUGAUGGUAAUCUGGUUAUUGUUGUCUCAGGUUGCAUAUUUCCAUCACUCUCCGCUAAUGCCUCGAGCUCUUCUGCUACAUGGCAUAGGAGGAGAAGGGGAGCCUAAGGGUUUGCUUUAGACCAUUUUUCUUUUAGUUAGGAGUUCCCUAUUUUUGAAAGUGUUGGUAAGAUAGCACCAGCUUUUUUGUUUGGGGAAUACCUGAUCAUGGGUUCAAAUUAGGGGUGCUUAUGGUUCGGUUGCCGCCAGGGAACCUCUAAUCCACCAUCGAUUCGCCGGAUUGGCGGAUAGAUGCGAAUCAGUUUGGUAGCUUAAA